rnacentral:rRNA from 1 species
UACGGAGGGGGCGAGCGUUAUUCGGAAUUAUUGGGCGUAAAGGGCGCGUAGGCGGCCCAUCAAGUCAAAGGUGAAAUCCCUCGGCUCAACUGAGGAACUGCCUUUGAAACUGAGGGGCUUGAGUCCGGGAGGGGGUAGCGGAAUUCCCAGUGUAGCGGUGAAAUGCGUAGAUAUUGGGAGGAACACCAGUGGCGAAGGCGGCUACCUGGACCGGAACUGACGCUGAUGCGCGAAAGCGUGGGUAGCAAACAGG